rnacentral:rRNA from 1 species
UUUGGUCAUUUAGAGGAAGUAAAAGUCGUAACAAGGUUUCCGUAGGUGAACCUGCGGAAGGAUCAUUAAAGAAAUUUAAUAAUUUUGAAAAUGGAUUUUUUUGUUUUGGCAAGAGCAUGAGAGCUUCUACUGGGCAAGAAGACAAGAGAUGGAGAGUCCAGCCGGGCCUGCGCUUAAGUGCGCGGUCUUGCUAGGCUUGUAAGUUUCUUUCUUGCUAUUCCAAACGGUGAGAGAUUUCUGUGCUUUUGUUAUAGGACAAUUAAAACCGUUUCAAUACAACACACUGUGGAGUUUUCAUAUCUUUGCAACUUUUUCUUUGGGCAUUCGAGCAAUCGGGGCCCAGAGGUAACAAACACAAACAAUUUUAUCUAUUCAUUAAAUUUUUGUCAAAAACAAGAAUUUUCGUAACUGGAAAUUUUAAAAUAUUAAAAACUUUCAACAACGGAUCUCUUGGUUCUCGCAUCGAUGAAGAACGCAGCGAAAUGCGAUACGUAAUGUGAAUUGCAGAAUUCCGUGAAUCAUCGAAUCUUUGAACGCACAUUGCGCCCCUUGGUAUUCCAGGGGGCAUGCCUGUUUGAGCGUCAUUUCCUUCUCAAACAUUCUGUUUGGUAGUGAGUGAUACUCUUUGGAGUUAACUUGAAAUUGCUGGCCUUUUCAUUGGAUGUUUUUUUUCCAAAGAGAGGUUUCUCUGCGUGCUUGAGGUAUAAUGCAAGUACGGUCGUUUUAGGUUUUACCAACUGCGGCUAAUCUUUUUUUAUACUGAGCGUAUUGGAACGUUAUCGAUAAGAAGAGAGCGUCUAGGCGAACAGUGUUCUUAAAGUUUGACCUCAAAUCAGGUAGGAGUACCCGCUGAACUUAAGCAUAUCAAUAAGCGGAG